UCGAAGCGACGGGACGGUGCCUGUAUAAGUAAGGCGGGACGUUCCCCCUGGUAAGUCAGUGCCGUCUCCAGGCCCGUCCACGUCCAGGCUAAUAUCCUGGCGUGGAGUGGGGGACCUGAUGUCAUAUGUCAUAUAUCAUGUUUAGACGCUCUAUGUGACUGUCCUGCCAUCAUGCUGUACGCGUAUUGACCAGUGGCCGACCAUCAUGCUGCAUGUGUCUGACCAGUCACUGAGCACCUCGGUACGUAGCUGAGCACCAACUUGCUCACACAGCCCGUAUUCUGUAGCUGACCAACAUCUUGGUCUGGACAGAGGGUGCUGACCUUGGUUCUACAUCACGGUACUAGCAGAAAUACAUGACCGUAUACGACUGUUCUACAUACCUCAUCUAGGUUCUACAUCACGGUACUAGCAGAAAUACAUGGCCGUAUACUACUGUUCUACAUACCUCACCUAGGUUCUACAUCACGGUACUAGCAGAAAUACCUGGCCGUAUACGACUGUUCUACAUACCUCACCUAGGUUCUACAUCACGGUACUAGCAGAAAUACAUGACCGUAUACGACUGUUCUACAUACCUCACCUAGGUUCUACAUCACGGUACUAGCAGAAAUACCUGGCCGUAUACGACUGUUCUACAUACCUCACCUAGGUUCUACAUCACGGUACUAGCAGAAAUACAUGGCGGUAUACGACUGUUCUACAUACCUCACCUAGGUUCUACAUCACGGUACUAGCAGAAAUACAUGACCGUAUACGACUGUUCUACAUACCUCACCUAGGUUCUACAUCACGGUACUAGCAGAAAUACAUGACCGUAUAGGAAUGGUCUAUAUACCUCUCCUGAAAGAUAGACGCCAAUACCAGUGUUAUCCAGACAAUGGAUAGUGGAUACGACCCAUACUCCUGAAGCCUGUCUGUCGAAGGACAAUUCGCUGUAACUUAUUCAAGAGAAAGAUCAACACAAAUUUCAUUUUGUUAUUUAUGUAUUAUAUGUAAAUCAUGCUGUUGUAUACUUCAAGUGGUAAUUUGAUAAAACAUUUUUUUUUUGAACCAGCGGACAUUUUCAAAAUUUAAUCCUAACAGAAAGAUAAUCUAUUGCAGCAAGAACAUACUUCAACUAUGGGAAGAACAUACUUGAAGUAUAGGUGACAUUAAAGUGACACGAUCUGGAAGAAAAGAACAUUUUACAAUCCAUAAAAUUGAAAUAAGUUUUCCGAUUCCGAAAAGGGCACUGUUCCUAAAACACCACAAUUCGUUUGUUUUCUUAAAAUCAUUUUAAAAUUUUGUCACAUAUUUAUUAUUUUUGUUAUCUUUAAAAUGCUAACGAUGCAUUCCUAUGUAAAUAGUAUUUUUUUAGUAUUUAUUCUAAUAUAUUCUUAAAUAUUUAUUCUAAUUAUACAUUUUCAAUUAAUGUAUAAGUCCUUAUCGAUUCCGUCCACGAUAAUCGAUUACUUAUAUUGUAUCGAAGUGUGUGUUAUUUAUUAAACAAAAAAAGUUGAAUGAAAGAUUUGUAAUGACAAGUGUCAAUCCAAAAUAUAUUGGAGGGAAAGAAAGGAAGAGAGAGAGAGAGAGAGAGAGAGAGAGAGAGAGAGAGAGAGAGAAAGGGAAGAUUUGUGGGAGUAAGAAAGAAAGAAAAAUGAAAAAAAGGUAAAAAAUGGAGGAGAAAAAGAAACGAAAGUAGAAAAAAAAAUUGACUAAAAAAAGAAUUAAAAUAAAAAGUUGAAAAUUGAGAGAAAAAAAA